rnacentral:lncRNA from 1 species
CGCAGAACACCGGGACAACGUUCUCGUGGAAAACACCGUUCCUGCACAAGAGGCCAGAGUGAACGCGGCUCCACAGGUUCCGUCGGUUCUCGAGCCGACAUUCAUCCGACUUCCUGAAGGCAGCGCCUCCGAGACGGAAUUAUCGGGAGCAGAAGGGUGCAGCGCAACAAGGGAUCAUUGCGACCACACGUACGCCCGUCCAUCACAUGGAUGCCUGGCACCUCCCCAAGAAGUCCUAGAACACCGGGACAACGUGCUGGUGGACAACGCAGUUCCUGUACAAGAAGCCAGAGCUAACGAGGCUCGACAGGCCGCAUUACCACAGGCUCCGUCGGCUGCACAGACUCCA